rnacentral:rRNA from 1 species
UUGCUUUCUAGAGACCGGCGGAUGGGUGAGUAACGCGUAUGCAACCUACCUUUUACAGGGGAAUAGCCCGGAGAAAUUCGGAUUAAUGCUCCAUGGUUUAUAAGAGUGGCAUCACUUAUAUAAUAAAGAUUUAUCGGUAAAAGAUGGGCAUGCGUAUCAUUAGCUAGUUGGUGUGGUAACGGCAUACCAAGGCGACGAUGAUUAGGGGUCCUGAGAGGGAGAUCCCCCACACUGGUACUGAGACACGGACCAGACUCCUACGGGAGGCAGCAGUGAGGAAUAUUGGUCAAUGGAGGCAACUCUGAACCAGCCAUGCCGCGUGCAGGAUGACGGUCCUAUGGAUUGUAAACUGCUUUUGUACGGGAAGAAAUGUAAUUACGAGUAAUUAUUUGACGGUACCGUAAGAAUAAGGAUCGGCUAACUCCGUGCCAGCAGCCGCGGUAAUACGGAGGAUCCGAGCGUUAUCCGGAAUUAUUGGGUUUAAAGGGUUCGUAGGCGGUUUAGUAAGUCAGUGGUGAAAUCUUGCAGCUUAACUGUAAAAUUGCCGUUGAUACUGCUAAACUUGAAUAGUAUGGAAGUAAUUAGAAUAUGUAGUGUAGCGGUGAAAUGCUUAGAUAUUACAUGGAAUACCAAUUGCGAAGGCAGAUUACUACGUACUUAUUGACGCUGAUGAACGAAAGCGUGGGUAGCGAACAGGAUUAGAUACCCUGGUAGUCCACGCCGUAAACGAUGGAUACUAGCUGUUCGGUCUUCGGAUUGAGUGGCUAAGCGAAAGUGAUAAGUAUCCCACCUGGGGAGUACGUUCGCAAGAAUGAAACUCAAAGGAAUUGACGGGGGCCCGCACAAGCGGUGGAGCAUGUGGUUUAAUUCGAUGAUACGCGAGGAACCUUACCAAGGCUUAAAUGUAGAUUGACAGGUUUAGAGAUAGACUUUUCUUCGGACAAUUUACAAGGUGCUGCAUGGUUGUCGUCAGCUCGUGCCGUGAGGUGUCAGGUUAAGUCCUAUAACGAGCGCAACCCCUAUUGUUAGUUGCCAGCGAGUAAUGUCGGGAACUCUAGCAAGACUGCCGGUGCAAACCGUGAGGAAGGUGGGGAUGACGUCAAAUCAUCACGGCCCUUACGUCUUGGGCUACACACGUGCUACAAUGGCCAGUACAGAAAGCAGCUACCAGGCAACUGGAUGCGAAUCUCAAAAGCUGGUCUCAGUUCGGAUUGGAGUCUGCAACUCGACUCUAUGAAGCUGGAAUCGCUAGUAAUCGGAUAUCAGCCAUGAUCCGGUGAAUACGUUCCCGGGCCUUGUACACACCGCCCGUCAAGCCAUGGAA